rnacentral:misc_RNA from 1 species
GAAAUGCGAUAAGUAAUGUGAAUUGCAGAAUUCAGUGAAUCAUCGAGUCUUUGAACGCACAUUGCGCCCCCUGGCAUUCCGGGGGGCAUGCCUGUCCGAGCGUCAUUGCUGCCCUUCAAGCCCGGCUUGUGUGUUGGGUCGUCGUCCCCUCCGGGGGACGGGCCCGAAAGGCAGCGGCGGCACCGCGUCCGGUCCUCGAGCGUAUGGGGCUUUGUCACCCGCUCGAUAAGGACCGGCCGGGCGCCAGCCGGCGUCUCCAACCUUUUUUUUCUCAGGUUGACCUCGGAUCAGGUAGGGAUACCCGCUGAACUUAAGC